AAGACUUAUAUUUAGGAACGGAGGGAGUACAUUGUUAUUAUGGAAUAAAAAGCUGGGCUGUUAGAGCUUGUUCUCUAGAAAUAUAAGCUGGAAAAGGAAAGUGUUCUUCUGCUCUCGAGUUCAAAUGAGUUUGGAUGAACAGUAAAAUGCACUGGCAAUCGCAGGCCAAGCAGCUCGACGAAUUGCUAUGCUACGCAGACAUCUUUGGGACAACUAAAUUUACCACAAGAACGUUCGAUUUGCUACAUCAGAUUUUUAACUUUACGGUAAAAUAAAAAUACCAAGGCAGCAAAAAAAAAAAAACACUAUAUACCGAGGGAUUAGGUGCGGCCUUUCACGCCCGUGCUUGUGUCUGUGUGUAACCUCCUUGAACAUGCUCACGUCAACAGGUGUUCUGGGCGUGGCAUUUUCUGUACAGGUUCAAACCUUAACGAAAGAAGAAAGAAAAAGAAGCAACCAGUAAUAGCUGAAUCUGCAGCCGCGGACAAAGCACAAGCAAAAUGAUAUGGUGAUCAGAUCAUCAGAAGAGCUAAUAUGUUGGUCCAUUUGGACAUGUCCAAAGUACGUGCUGCUCCACUUCCAACGAUUCGUUGGGAUCGAUAUCUAUGUAUCAUCAUCUUGUUUUCGGACUGCGGCUGCAUUUGUUCGUGUCCUUCCCGGAAAUCGCAGCCGUGGUUGCGGCUACCACGGCUGCAGCAACCGCGCCGACCUUGAGGCCUCCCGUGAGCUUCAUGGCCCCGGCCAUCUUUGCGAAGGCCGCCGCCCCCGCCAUCUUCGACCUGAAAGCCAUGGUGCGUUCCUGGGGCGGCUGUUUCAGAAAAUGAGCAGCGAAUUCAGCAGCGACCUCCUGUUGUUAUAUGUGCAUGUUGUUUCUUCGAGUGCCUGUUUAGAGCAUUCAUGUAGCUAGAGUUAGCAGAGAAGAGGCUUAAGAUGUUUAUCAUGUGCCGUGGCCAUUUGUACUCACAACAUGAGAUAGCUGAAGAUAUAGACAAUUGACCAAGGAACGGCAGACUGAAAUCAUUUCUAGACUAGAAAAGUUUUGUUUCAGGCACUUAUAGAGUUGUAGAGUGUUCGAAACUUCGAAUACAGUGUAUAUAUCACCCUUCUUCACCAGCUUAAGACAUGUGCACAGGAAACAAAAUUUCCGACUACCAACUCUGCUGCGGACAAGCUCGCGGGAUGAACCUUUCUUUCAAGUGCUAGACUAGAUACAACAAAACAACCAAAUAUCUUAAGACUUGGCCGGGUACACAGGAAACAAAAUUCCUCCCUUUCCAAAAAAAAAAAAGGAAACAAAAUUCCUGACUACGAACUCUGCUAUGGACUGAGCUCUCAGGAUGAACAUUUCUUUCAAGUGCUAGAUCUAGAGCAGGAUCCAGCAAAACAACCAAGUGCUGUCUACCUAGCUGCUAGCUGCUAUGGAGGAAGAGAGUCUUAGGUAAGAAUGAUCCAUACCUCGACCAGGAAAUCAGGAAGAAAAACCAGCCGUGGAGCUGCCGGCCGGCUCAAGAGAGACAGACACCUUCACCUUGGACCUCGAUCGCGAGGAAGGUGGGGGAGGAAUGUUUUUGAGUCAACACGGAAAGGGGCGGUGAGAGAGUAUGAGCUAGUAACGGGGAGGCUUCUCAAGUCUUUUGGGGUGGGUGGGGGGCGAGCUAGGGAGAAGCUGUUGAGUGAACGAUCCCUUUGAGUUCUUCAUGCUCAAACGGACCGCACCGCAGGUGCAUGCACCUCCCUCUAUUCGUUCUCCCACCUGCUCCUCUACGCCAAGGGGAAGGGCCGGACACAUUCCAUGUCCAUGGAGAAAGCAGGCAUGUGCCCCAAUCAACGAGCUCCGUCGCACAGCUGCUCCAGCCACAUGCAUCUGCGGAAAAAACAGUUCUCGGUAAAACUAUGAAGCAUGGCUAUAAAUUUUCUGUCGAGACACAAAGUGAG
rnacentral:lncRNA from 1 species